rnacentral:rRNA from 1 species
CCCUUAGAUGUUCUGGGCCGCACGCGCGCUACACUGAUGCAUUCAACGAGUUCCUACCUUGGCCGAGAGGCCUGGGCAAUCUUUUGAACUUGCAUCGUGAUAGGGAUAGAUUAUUGCAAUUAUUAAUCUUGAACGAGGAAUUCCUAGUAAUCGCAGAUCAUCAAUCUGCAUUGAUUACGUCCCUGCCCUUUGUACACACCGCCCGUCGCACCUACCGAUUGAAUGGUCCGGUGAAGCCUCGGGAUUGUGGUUAGUUUCCUUCAUUGGAAGUUAGCCGCGAGAACUUGUCUAAACCUUAUCAUUUAGAGGAAGGUGAAGUCGUAACA